AUGCGGUACCUCCGAGUUCAUCAGUUAGUAGGUGGCUAGUUUCUGGACAAGUGAGUCCCUGCACACUUCUCUGACUAGCUGACAUUGGAAAUGUGUCACAUUAAAACAGCACCAGAGUUAGUAUGACAUUUGUCUACUUCUAGAAUCUAAUCUCUUCAUAACGGCACUGAUUCGAGAUUAAUAGAAGGAAGCAAGAAAGAAGGGAGACUGGUAUCGAUUAAGAGUCUCUUGAGGCGUCCCACCUCCUUGUGUUUGGCAAACGGGUGCUCUUCCUUACAGCCUUGAUUGUAAAUCUGAGCCAACUUCUUGAAAUUAUUUUAAUGCUAAGGACGAAGAAUAGGGAAUGGACAGUUUCACGUUGGACCAUUAAGCCCAACUAACAAGAUCUCAGUUAGCUCUGAUUGAGUACUAACUAAUAGCCAAGAGACUUGUGUGCUGUCACGCUCCCAAUACAUGUUUGCUUCUUUCCGGAACCUUAAACAAAAGUAGCUAUGAAAUCAAACUGAGCUUGAGCAGACGAAAGACUAAACUUAAAAGGAAUUUCAAACAUCGAGCAAUUCCUUACGUCAGCACCGUUUGAGACUUUUUCACCAUACGCCACUAGUCCUGCAUAUAUGCGUAAGUAAUUACUGACCAAGAAUAUAUCUAAGCUAGACUAAACUUUUGUGUGACGUAGUAUGAAAUUCUAAUACUUUAUAAUGUUUUGCGUAAAUUUACAGAAUACAAAGUCAAGGUUUGUUGCUAUAUUUAAAAUUGAAAGUAUUUACAUUACGAAUAACGGAAAUCUAUAUUAGAACAUAA